UGAGGAAUAUUGGUCAAUGGUCGGAAGACUGAACCAGCCAUGCCGCGUGAAGGUCAGUGCCCUAUGGGCGUUAAACUUCUUUUGUGUGAGAGCAAUAAGGACCUCGUGAGGUCCGAUGAGAGUAUCACACGAAUAAGCAUCGGCUAACUCCGUGCCAGCAGCCGCGGUAAUACGGGGGAUGCGAGCGUUAUCCGGAUUUAUUGGGUUUAAAGGGUGCGUAGGCGGCCUGUUAAGUCAGCGGUGAAAUAUCCUCGCUCAACGAGGAGACUGCCGUUGAUACUGGUGGGCUUGAAUGCGGAUGCCGUUGGAGGAAUGUGUGGUGUAGCGGUGAAAUGCAUAGAUAUCACACAGAACACCGAUUGCGAAGGCAUCUGACGAAUCCGCGAUUGACGCUGAUGCACGAAAGCGUGGGUAUCAAACAGG
rnacentral:rRNA from 2 species